rnacentral:rRNA from 1 species
UACGUAGGGUGCGAGCGUUGUCCGGAAUUACUGGGCGUAAAGAGCUCGUAGGUGGUUUGUCGCGUUGUUCGUGAAAACCUGAGGCUUAACCUUGGGCGUGCGGGCGAUACGGGCAGACUGGAGUACUGCAGGGGAGACUGGAAUUCCUGGUGUAGCGGUGGAAUGCGCAGAUAUCAGGAGGAACACCAAUAGCGAAGGCAGCUCGCUGGGACGGUACUGACGCUGAGGUGCGAAAGCGUGGGGAGCAAACAGG